CCUACGGGAGGCAGCAGUGGGGAAUAUUGGACAAUGGGGGAAACCCUGAUCCAGCGACGCCGCGUGUGUGAAGAAGGCCUGCGGGUUGUAAAGCACUUUCGGUGGGAACGAAAUAUGCCGGGCCAAUACCCCGGCAGGCUGACGUUACCCAAUGAAGAAGCACCGGCUAACUCUGUGCCAGCAGCCGCGGUAAUACAGAGGGUGCGAGCGUUAAUCGGAAUUACUGGGCGUAAAGCGCACGUAGGCGGCUUCGUAAGUCGGAUGUGAAAUCCCCGGGCUCAACCUGGGAACUGCAUUCGAGACUGCGAUGCUCGAGUAUGGGAGAGGACAGCGGAAUUCCGGGUGUAGCGGUGAAAUGCGUAGAUAUCCGGAGGAACAUCAGUGGCGAAGGCGGCUGUCUGGCCCAAUACUGACGCUCAGGUGCGAAAGCGUGGGGAGCAAACAGGAUUAGAUACCCUGGUAGUCCACGCCCUAAACGAUGAGGACUAGAUGUCGGAAGGGUCUGCCUUUCGGUGUCGCAGCUAACGCGUUAAGUCCUCCGCCUGGGGAGUACGGCCGCAAGGUUGAAACUCAAAUGAAUUGACGG
rnacentral:rRNA from 1 species